rnacentral:rRNA from 1 species
GACGAACGCUGGCGGCGUGCUUAACACAUGCAAGUCGAACGGAAAGGCCCUGCUUGCAGGGUCCUCGAGUGGCGAACGGGUGAGUAACACGUGGGUGAUCUGCCCUGCACUUCGGGAUAAGCUUGGGAAACUGGGUCUAAUACCGGAUAGGAGCCAUCUUUAGUGUGGUGGUUGGAAAGUUUUUUCGGUGUAGGAUGAGCUCGCGGCCUAUCAGCUUGUUGGUGGGGUAAUGGCCUACCAAGGCGGCGACGGGUAGCCGGCCUGAGAGGGUGUACGGCCACAGUGGGACUGAGAUACGGCCCAGACGCCUACGGGAGGAAGCAGUGGGGAAUAUUGCACAAUGGGCGCAAGCCUGAUGCAGCGACGCCGCGUGGGGGAUGAAGGCCUUCGGGUUGUAAACUCCUUUCGCUAGGGACGAAGCUUUUUGUGACGGUACCUAGAGAAGAAGCACCGGCUAACUACGUG